rnacentral:rRNA from 1 species
AACAGGGAUUGCCUCAGUAACGGCGAGUGAAGCGGCAAAAGCUCAAAUUUGAAAUCCCCCCGGGGAGUUGUAAUUUGAAGAUUGCGUCUUGGAGGCGACCGUGUCUAUGUUCCUUGGAACAGGACGUCACAGAGGGUGAGAAUCCCGUGCGGCACGGCCCCCGGCUCCUUAUAAGGCGCUCUCGACGAGUCGAGUUGUUUGGGAAUGCAGCUCAAAGUGGGUGGUAAAUUCCAUCUAAAGCUAAAUACAGGCGAGAGACCGAUAGCGAACAAGUACAGUGAUGGAAAGAUGAAAAGCACUUUGAAAAGAGAGUGAAACAGCACGUGAAAUUGUUGAAAGGGAAGGGCAUGCCGUCAGAUUGUCAGUGUGGGUAAGAAGCGGGGUACAAAGACUGUGGAACGUGGCCCUCGGGUGUUAUAGCCGCAGUUCAUGCCCCGUCUCUUUCCGAGGCCUGCUUUGAGGACACCGA